GCCGCCAUCGUCUAGUGGUCUAGGACGUCACGUUCUCAACGUGAAGAUCGCGGGUUCGACUCCCGCUGGCGGUA
rnacentral:tRNA from 1 species